UACGAAGGGUGCAACCGUUGCUCGGAAUCAUUGGGCGUAAAGCGCACGUAGGCGGCCUUGUAAGUCGGAUGUGAAAUCCCACGGCUCAACCGUGGACGUGCAUUCGAAACUGCUCGGCUCGAGUAUGGAAGAGGGUCGCGGAAUUCCCGGUGUAGAGGUGAAAUUCGUAGAUAUCGGGAGGAACACCAGUGGCGAAGGCGGCGACCUGGGCCAAUACUGACGCUGAGGUGCGAAAGCGUGGGGAGCAAACAUG
rnacentral:rRNA from 1 species